rnacentral:rRNA from 1 species
GACAGAGGGUGCAAACGUUGCUCGGAAUUACUGGGCGUAAAGCGCGUGUAGGUGGUCUGGACAGUCGGACGUGAAAGCCCGGGGCUCAACCCCGGAAGUGCAUUCGAUACUGCCAGGCUGGAGUACUGAAGAGGAGAGCGGAAUUCCCGGUGUAGAGGUGAAAUUCGUAGAUAUCGGGAGGAACACCAGUGGCGAAGGCGGCUCUCUGGGCAGAUACUGACACUGAGACGCGAAAGCGUGGGGAGCAAACAGG